UAGGGAAUCUUCCGCAAUGGACGCAAGUCUGACGGAGCAACGCCGCGUGAGUGAAGAAGGAUUUCGGUUCGUAAAACUCUGUUGUUAGAGAAGAACAGCGCAUAGAGUAACUGUUAUGCGUGUGACGGUAUCUAACCAGAAAGCCACGGCUAACUACGUGCCAGCAGCCGCGGUAAUACGUAGGUGGCAAGCGUUGUCCGGAUUUAUUGGGCGUAAAGCGAGCGCAGGCGGUCAAUUAAGUCUGAUGUGAAAGCCCCCGGCUCAACCGGGGAGAGUCAUUGGAAACUGGUUGACUUGAGUGCAGAAGAGGAGAGUGGAAUUCCAUGUGUAGCGGUGAAAUGCGUAGAUAUAUGGAAGAACACCUGUGGAGAAGGCGACUCUCUGGUCUGUAAAUGACGCUGAGGCUCGAAAGCGUGGGUAGCAAACAGG
rnacentral:rRNA from 1 species